GCAAGGCGGGGGAAGGCGGCGGGCCGGCAGGGGGCGCUGCGAACGGGGGUGCCCGCCUGAGGGGACGGGAAACCCGGGCGGGGCUCAGGGGACCGAGCCGGGGAAAUGCGGGGCUGAUCCGCCGCGCUUCUACAAGUGAGUGGACUGCAUGAAGAGGACUGUCUGAUUUGCCUGAGAUCACAAAAGUGCAAGAACCGGCAACACUGACAGAAAAGUAACCCACAAACGAUGAGCCCGGACAUCGUAGCAGGUGGAUCUCGGUGGAGCUUGCCCUGCGGCGACCGGUGAGCUGAAAGAUGAGAUCGGACACAACUGAAUGAACACGUUUUCUCGAUGCUUUGUGACCCUGUUUCAUUCCCCGGCAGGUCUUCGGUCCGUUGCCAGAGAAGGGUGGCAGAUGCUGGGAUCUGCGUGGAGUCAACAGCAUCCGGCCAGCCAAACUUCUCCCCUUGGAAGGAAAAAAGACACAGCGCAGCUGGGAAGCACUACUGGGGAUCCUGGCCCAUCCGUGGGCACAAAAUCCAUCACUGGCCUUGUAGGAACAAGCAUUUCCACUCCCAAACGUUCCAGUAAAAAGGACAAGGACUGCAGAGGUUUGAAGACUGAGCUCUUCCCUUCUCUCCAUGGCCCCUCGAUCUGCUUUUGACAUCAAGGUUGUGGCCGACCAACAGCUCUAAGUUAGUGCUGAAAUGUUAAACACCCAGCAGAUGACAGCUACGCUUUCUGGAAACACCCAGUAAUCCGACGUUCCCCGAGGGACAGCGGGAAGCACAGAACUAAGAGCUCAUCAAUUGUUUAGUUGGAUUCUGAGUCACAUGGUGAAAAGGCAUCAUGAGAAUAGACAUGCUGAUUCGGACCAAGGUCUUGCACAGCCUCUUACUUUGACUCCAGUAUUGGACAGAAGCGGAUGGAUGACAAGAAAGAAGUAAAAAGAGGAGUACAACCACCAGCCGUUCUUCAAUGGAAAUGUGUCCUCCUGGCUGCUCAUUUCUGACUCUCAGGCUGCCAAAACCCAACAAUAUCCAAAUGUUAUGGAAACUUCUUGCUUCUUCCACAUCUCCUGCUGCUUUCACACAUCUCCGGGCGGCCAUUUAAGGAGUAUUCUGCAAGAUCCAUCAGAGCAGUCGCGUGCUGGGAUUUACAGCAGGAGACAGAACUAAAAACUGCCCCAUUUCUGGGAAAGCUCGUGCACUUGAACUCAAAGCGUCUGCCUUUGGUCUUGGAGCUACAAAGCAGUUUCUGAUCAUUUCGAGAUGCUGAACUGCACCUUGAGGGCUGUGGAAUCGUAUUGUCGUUAGUGUCGCCAAACAGCAGAUAUGCUCCUGCUUAUCAGUCCUGCUUUGAAAUGCUGCAGCUCGUGGCAACUUUUCCUGUAAUUCUGCUCACUCCGACGUUCCCCCUGCUCGCACCUUCUAGCUCGAGGAAGAACUGGAGUCGCAGCAGCCGGAUUCCCCCCUGCUUUCCUCCCUGUGGUACACGUGUGGAAAUGUGGACGUGGGUUUGUUUUGCUGUGUAGUGGCUUUGAAACCACUUGCCUGGUAUCCUGGGGACACUAGUGGGCCACAGGUUGAGCAGCAGUGAGACAAGAGGUGCCUUCGAGAUAACCUGGAAGGGUUGGAUUGUGUCUCAGAGAGGGAGCAGCUGCAUUUGCGUCCCGUCAUUUAGCAGUCUGCCCCGGGCAGCUCGUUCCAAUGUUUAAUAAUCCUUUCCGGGAAGAAAUUGUUCCCUGGAUCCAACCUCAACAUCCUCUGGCGCAACCUGCAGCUGUUUCCUCUGCUCCUGAUGCUUGUUCUUGGUUCCAGAGCUUGUUCCUUGUCCAGUAGAUUCAAACAAACCUUUUGGAAAAGUAGAGAUCAGAAACUUGCAGUUCAUCAGAAUCUGGAUUAAAGCACCAAUCCUGACAGAAUGCUGGAAUGGACUUGGGAGAAAAAUUACAACAUAUGACCUCUCUGAAGAUUCAGAAGUCAAACAAAAGUUAGAUACAUGCCAUUUUUCUAUGAAGUCACAGGUUUUGUGUGGUUGGCAAAUGUAAUGCAUCUCUCAGGAAGAUGUGAAUCUACUGUGACUACAACACUAAGAGGCGCUGAGAUUAUUUGGUAUAAAUGCUGUCUGGAGAAAAGCUUCUAACUCUGUCAGGCAAAUGCCUUGGUCCCAGAAAGAUAAGACGAGGACUAAAAACGCACCAGUCUAAAUGUGAGCCCAGCUGCACGGCUGAAUAAAUAGGAGUCACCCGCUGGAAAACAGUCAGUGUUUACUUGAUCACUUUGGAGUCUGAACCCUCAUAUAACGGCAUUCACAUGAUAGAAUCUCCCCCCAAAAGUAGUGCUGGUCUCUUCAUGGUUUUUGCAGAUGAAUGUGAGGAUUUUGCCACAAAGAUGGAUCCAUCAGUCCUUUCUCUUUUUUGCUCCUGGUUUGCCUUUCCUUGGGGAUCUGUUAGCAGCACGCUGCCUCACCUGGUUUCAGGCUCCUCAGCACACCUGCUAAUUCCUGUUGGAGCAUUCCUCUUCCAGGAUGGCAUUUUAACCCCAUCCUUCCCAAAAGCAGCAUCGGUUCUGCCAGCACACUCCUUCAAAACUCACAACUCGAGGACCAAAAUGUUAUUUUCAGUUUCAGAACAGUCAACGGCUUUGAUAAAAACCAAGUUGUACCCCUUGUGCGCAGGACUAGAGUGUGUAUACUCAUAAAAUACAAAGAGAGGAAUAAAGACAGGCUGAGAAAACACUCUGCAAACUGGAGAGAUUUUACUGUACAAUAUAUACGCUUCUCACAGAGAGCGCCAAAGCCAGAUACCCCAAACAAAUAGCAUCGAUUCCCUUCUUUUCCACAAGAACGACUCCAGUUCAAACAAAACGGAAAUAAAAGGCAGGAUGGGACUUUGAGGAGGAGUGAGAAUAAAAGCUUUAGAUGCGCAUGGGGAUACUGUCAGACGUCUGUGACAGAACAGUCCCGCGGAUCUGGUGUACGUGCAGAGUUUGCUGACCAGCAAAGAGGUGUCGUGAGAAAGCGCUCCGGCAGUGCGGCCUGCUGAGCCUGGUCCCUGGGAUCCCAGGAGGAGCAUCUGCUUUGCUACCAGCACUUUGCUCUGUAAUUACAGCGUAGCAUCGGCUUUGAAAACAAUCAUUCGGAUAUUCUGCUUCAGAUGGGAACUUCAGGCUUUGUUUGCUAUGAAGGAGACUGAAACUGGCAACUUUUUCCUCGGUAGUCAUAAUUUUUAGCUGCAAACUACAAAACGGAACAGAUUCAGAUGCAAAUCCAAAGGGUGAAAAGUGCAUUAUUUCCUUCCCAAACUUCUGAAGUACCGUAUUCAAGGAUUCAUGUUCCAUGUAUCAAAAAGACUCACAUGAGAGACGUGAGAGACAGGAAAAAAGUGAGUAGUAAUGGAAUCAUAGUGAUUUCAAAAGGAGACACAAAACAACACAUUAGAUCAUUAAAUCCUGUCUAUGCUGCUUCGAAACAUUGGCUUUUGAGAAUUACAGAACUCUAGUUCACACCACCUUUGCUUUUCUCAGUUUUAUUUUGGUUUAUGUUCCAUUGGAAAUGAGACUAAUUCAAUGGCAUGACAUGACACAAGCACAACUGAGUCGGAGAGCUGGAGGUUUUGUACUCGCCUAUCAAUGCUUAUGAGUUUUGAUGCUAUCCACAAUACCUGAGCAAACAACAAGGGUUUGUGUGGUGUUGCUCCCGUGGAAAUGCAUAUCACGCUAUCCCCUAGAACAUGAAGGCACACAUAUGCUCUUCCUCCAGCCAACAAACAAGUUUUGAUGUACCACUUGGUGUAACCAGACCUUUAAUAUGAAACCAUAAAGGCAAGGCUUGUGGUGUUGGCUAUAUAAGUAGCUAUAUAUUCUACUCCUACCACAAGCAACUGACACUUGAGAAAUGCUCUACAUGACUAAUGGUUUGAGUGGUCUGACCCACCUCCUUUCCCCACAGCAUACCAAUUCUAUGCUUUCUAUAAUUGAGAUAAGCUAAGAAGAGAGGAGGAGUUAAAUGACUUAACUCUUUAAUAAUUUACAACUCUCCAGGAUGAAUACAUAGUGCGAAGGGGCAAGGCUGCUCGCUCAGAGUGGCAGUCUGGGACUGCGGUGGGGAGGAAUUAGACAAUCGGAUCCACAUCUGUUGAAUUCUUUCACGCUGCCAAAUCACAUAACCAAAAUGUCAAAUUCCAGCCCCAACACAGGCAUGAGAAGAAUAUCGAGGUUAAGUGAGAAAUGCUCAAAAUUAGGAAGCAAGUGUCGAAGACAACUGUAAUGUCUGUAUACACAGAUGCUGUCAAAACUUCACUGGAGAGCACGUCAGAAGGAACACAGCCUUUUUAAUUUUUAUUUUAUUUUUAAUAGAUGAUUCUUUGACAAACUAUGAAAACAAUUUCAUUAGAGAAGAAAAAGAAAAUCAUUUCUCUUGCCACAGGGCUUUCUUCCUGCACAUUUCAAAGGCCCGCUGUGAAUAAUAGUGUUAGAGCCUCCAAGCUUCAAGGAUAUUUUAUAGUGGAAAGUGUUAGGCAACCAAAAUAAAUAUCAGUCUCCACUGUUACGAAA